AGUCAAUAGAUACCCCGGUAGUCCACGCCGUAAACGAUGAGUACUAGGUGUAGGAGGUAUCGACUCCUUCUGUGCCGCAGUUAAACACAAUAAGUACUCCGCCUGGGAAGUACGAUCGCAAGAUUAAAACUCAAAGGAAUUGACGGGGGCCCGCACAAGCAGCGGAGCAUGUGGUUUAAUUCGAAGCAACGCGAAGAACCUUACCUAGACUUGACAUCUCCUGAAUAGCGCAGAGAUGCGUGAAGCCCUUCGGGGCAGGAAGACAGGUGGUGCAUGGUUGUCGUCAGCUCGUGUCGUGAGAUGUUGGGAUAAGUCCCGCAACGAGCGCAACCCCUAUUAUUAGUUGCUACCAUUAAGUUGAGCACUCUAAUGAGACUGCCCGGGUUAACCGGGAGGAAGGCGGGGAUGACGUCAAAUCAUCAUGCCCCUUAUGUCUAGGGCUACACACGUGCUACAAUGGUGAGAACAACGAGAUGCAAUACCGCGAGGUGGAGCAAAACUUGAGAACUCAUCUCAGUUCGGA
rnacentral:rRNA from 1 species